CUGCUGCCUCCCGUAGGAGUCUGGGCCGUGUCUCAGUCCCAAUGUGGCCGUUCACCCUCUCAGGCCGGCUACUGAUCGUCGCCUUGGUGGGCCGUUACCCCGCCAACAAGCUAAUCAGACGCGGAACCAUCGUAUACCACCGGAGUUUUUCACACUGUCCCAUGCGGGUCUGUGCGCUUAUGCGGUAUUAGCACCUAUUUCUAAGUGUUAUCCCCCCAGUAUACGGCAGGUUUUCCACGCGUUACUCACCCGUCCGCCACUAA
rnacentral:rRNA from 1 species